GCCUGCCAAAAUCCUUUAAAUUUACUAAGUACUUUUUUUUUCUUUCAGGAGAUGAAGAUUAGUUUUAUUGUCACAAGUUGGUUAAUAAGCUCUGGCAGAAAGAAGCUCUUACCCACAGGCCAUGCCAAUGUCAUAAGACCCAUUCCUGAUGCCACCAGCUCUCCUAGCCACUGCCUGAAGCCCUAACGAACAACUGUCUAUUUGACAGUGGACAAAGGCAGUCUCCGGAUGUCACCACGCAGAUGUCCCCCAGCUCUGCUUGGCUCAGGUGGACGUCCUGGAGAACCGCGGAAUUGAUGCCAGAGAGAGCUCUUCGAUGUGGUGUCCUGCGGCAGGAAGUGCGGCCUAGGGACCCCAGCAGCAAUGGCCGUAGGGAGCCCGUGCACCACCGCCCCCUACGCGGCUGAGGCCCGCGCGGCGCAGCUUCAGGUGGCCCAGCACCACGUGUAACCUCCGCGUCGUCCGGCUAGGCCCCGCAGACCAGCUACCAGUAAGUGCUUUUGAUACUCUUAAAUUCAGUCAGUAUAGCUCCUGCCA
rnacentral:lncRNA from 1 species